ensembl:lncRNA
GAGGCGGCAGGGUAGCCUAGUGGUUAGAGUGUAGAGGUGACAGGGUAGCCUAGUGGUUAGAGUGUAGAGGCGGCAGGGUAGCCUAGUGGUUAGAGUGUAGAGGCGGCAGGUAGCCUAGUGGUUAGUGUAGAGGCGGCAGGGUAGCCUAGUGGUUAGAGUGUAGAGGCGGCAGGGUAGCCUAGUGGUUAGAGUGUAGAGGCGGCAGGUAGCCUAGUGGUUAGAAGUGUAGAGGCGGCAGGGUAGCCUAGUGGUUAGAGUGUAGGGGCGGCAGUGUAGCCUAGUGGUUAGAGUGUAGAGGUGACAGGGUAGCCUAGUGGUUAGAGUGUGGAGGCGGCAGGUAGCCUAGUGGUUAGAGUGUAGAGGCGGCAGGGUAGCCUAGUGGUUAGAGUGUAGAGGCGGCAGGUAGCCUAGUGGUUAGUGUAGAGGCGGCAGGGUAGCCUAGUGGUUAGAGUGUAGAGGUGACAUGGUAGCCUAGUGGUUAGAGUGUAGAGGCGGCAGGGUAGCCUAGUGGUUAGAGUGUAGAGGAGACAGGGUAGCCAAGUGGUUAGAGUGUAGAGGCGGCAGGUAGCCUAGUGGUUAGAGUGUAGAGGCGGCAGGGUAGCCUCGUGGUUAGAGUGUAGGGAAGGCAGGGUAGCCUAGUGGUUAGAGUGUAGGGAAGGCAGGGUAGCCUAGUGGUUAGAGUGUAGAGGCGGCAGGGUAGCCUAGUGGUUAGAGUGUAGAGGCGGCAGGGUAGCCUAGUGGUUAGAGUGUUGGACUAGUAACCGGAAGGUUGCAAGUUCAAACCCCCGAGCUGACAAGGUACAAAUCUGUCGUUCUGCCCCUGAACAGGCAGUUAACCCACUGUUCC